rnacentral:lncRNA from 1 species
UAGUGAGUGGGUGGGCGGGUGGGUGGGAGCAGUCAUCUUGCAUAGGAUGUCGGCAAUCUCAGAAACCUCUGGGAGUCUGCUUUUCAUGUAGCAAACAACCUAGUAAGAAAAACUAGCUUUGGAGCCAGCCCCGGCUGGAAAAAAUGAAGCUAAAUGAAACUCUCUCCACAAUAUUGGGCUAAAACCUUUUGAUGUUUCUUGCUGAGCCUACCUGGCUAAUGCCAUCAGUGAAAGACAAAUCAGAACAGAUGAAGAAUGUGACUUUCAGGGGAUGAAUGGAAGCGCCUCCUCUGGCUCAUGCUGGUGGGAGAAAAUGAACCAGCCCUGCUUUCUCUCCCUGGUUCAAUUCCCAGCAAAGGAAAAACAAUGUAAUUCAUGAUGAUGAUGACAAUGACAAUGACGACAACAACAAUAACCAACCUUUAACACAUCCUUAUAAUGUGCCAGACCCUGCGGUAGGUGCAUUAGAAUAAUUACCUCAUUUAAUUAUUGUAACAUAGUUUGGUUAAUUUGCCCCCAUUUUUCAUAUGAGCAAACUGAGGCAUGGAGAGGCUAGGCAGCUUGCCCAAGAAUAAGAGGCUGUGCUGGCUUGAAAGUGAGGCAUUCAGACAUUAGUGUCACAUGCUCUUAAUCGCUCCACAGCACCAUCUCCUUGGAUCGGAGUGAUUUCCUGGAGCAAAGGUAAUCUGAUCUUAUUCACACAGGAGCAGGCAAUAACUGCCUGAGUACAGAACUCCUAUGAGGCGAUUGGUGUUGGAACCCUGAGUAGUCUAGUUACAUAACCAGCAUAACCCUUGGAAAAGCUGUCGCAUAAGGGAAGGCUGCCUCUGGGACUAGAAGAAAGACUAUGCCAAGAUCUGGUUCUGCAAUAGAUGAGCUGUUUGACCUUGGGCUCAACGCUUCACAUUUAGGCUCUGAUUUUCAAAGGAAGUUCUUGGGCUGGGUAAUCUCUGGAGAUCCUGUCAUGUAAGCAGCCCCUGCCAGCACUCCUACUGGGGAGUGAUUACCAUAAAGACAAGGAAAGUGUUAAGCAGGUUCUUGCACCUCCCAAAGUAAGUAGCAAAUAGCUGUUUGGGUGUCCUGAGGAGUUCUGAAAACACUGGGCCUAGUUGCCUCCUGCUUCAUCUUGCACCAUAUGCCUGAAGCUAGUGAAUGAAUAAACAUCACUCGUGGCUAUUUCUGGAUGCUCAAGAAACUUUGAAAAAAAAAAAAGAAUUAUUAUUUUUGAGGAGAGUAUUAUAGAAGACCCAGGGGAAGACAGGGUAGGGAGGAGAGUGAGGAUUCUCUUUGUUGUGAUCCUAGAAUUCCCAUUAGGUGGACUGGAAAUGCUAGACUUACCAUUGUUGGACUGGAAAUGCUAACAUCCUGAAACUCUUAGGACCUCUGCAUGAAGAAUUGUCCUGCCCCAAAUGCUCUUAGCACCCCCACUGAGAAGGAGUAAAAGAGUUUCUCACAGUGGAAACACUGCGAACCUCUUUAUGCAUUUUUCUGAACAUCAGUCAAUAAUCCAUUAACUCGGGGAAGCUGAAUGCUCUUCAUACAGGAAUCCAAAAUAAAUUGACAGAUAUCCUCUGGGAAGAACUGUAGAAAGGCUCUGUGGGCUUGAACAAGGCAUUUCAUUUCCUUGGGCCUCAGUUUCUUUAUCUUUAUAGCACUAACAUUCUAUAGCUUCCUAAUUUCUCUCCCCAGAAAGGAGAAAUAAUUUUUAAACACAGAGGCUUAGAAAGAGUUUGUUUUCCAAUUCGGGGCAUGCUAGGUACAUGUACUGCAGUUAACCAAAAUGCACAUGGUAAAGUUUAAGCCAAAAGAAUGCAGAAUCAGGCCGGGCAUGGUGGCUCAUGCCUGUAAUCCCAG